rnacentral:rRNA from 1 species
AGAGCGAACGCUGGCGGCAGGCCUAACACAUGCAAGUCGAGCGCCCCGCAAGGGGAGCGGCAGACGGGAGAGUAACACGUGGGAACGUACCCUUCAGUUCGGAACAACCCAGGGAAACUUGGGCUAAUACCGGAUACGUCCGUAAGGAGAAAGAUUUAUCGCUGAAGGAUCGGCCCGCGUCUGAUUAGCUAGUUGGUGGGGUAACGGCUCACCAAGGCGACGAUCAGUAGCUGGUCUGAGAGGAUGAUCAGCCUCACUGGGACUGAGACACGGCCCAGACUCCUACGGGAGGCAGCAGUGGGGAAUAUUGGACAAUGGGCGCAAGCCUGAUCCAGCCAUGCCGCGUGGGUGAUGAAGGCCCUAGGGUUGUAAAGCCCUUUCGGCGGGGAAGAUAAUGACGGUACCCGCAGAAGAAGCCCCGGCUAACUUCGUGCCAGCAGCCGC